rnacentral:rRNA from 1 species
AGGACGAACGCUGGCGGCGUGCUUAACACAUGCAAGUCGAGCGGAAAGGCCCUUCGGGGUACUCGAGCGGCGAACGGGUGAGUAACACGUGAGUAAUCUGCCCCUAGCUCUGGGAUAGCUCCGGGAAACCGGGAUUAAUACCGGAUACGACCACCUUAGACAUCUUUUGUGGUGGAAAGAAUUUCGGCUAGGGAUGAGCUCGCGGCCUAUCAGCUUGUUGGUGGGGUAACGGCCUACCAAGGCGACGACGGGUAGCCGGCCUGAGAGGGCGACCGGCCACACUGGGACUGAGACACGGCCCAGACUCCUACGGGAGGCAGCAGUGGGGAAUAUUGCGCAAUGGGCGAAAGCCUGACGCAGCGACGCCGCGUGGGGAUGAAGGCCUUCGGGUUGUAAACCCUUCAGCAGGACGAAGCGAAAGUGACGGUACCUGCAGAAGAAGCGCCGGCUAACUACGCGCCAGCAGCCGC